CUUGGCUUGGCAACACUGAAAGCCAAAGCCAAGCCUUUUGACAGGAACAAUUGAAAAGAGUAAGGAAAUAUUUUCCAUUCUAAAAUCUUUUUCUUUAUAAAUUUAGCGGAAAGCUAUAAUUCCUUGAAAAAUGUCUCGUUUUCGUGAAUGGGAUUUGUCGUGUAAAGUGUAUGUGGGAAACUUGGGCUCAUCAGCUAGCAAGCACGAGAUUGAAAGUGCGUUUAGCAAAUAUGGACCUUUGAGGAAUGUGUGGGUUGCCCGAAAUCCACCCGGUUUUGCCUUUGUGGAAUAUGAAGAUCCCAGAGAUGCGGAAGACGCAGUCCGAGGGCUGGAUGGAACUCGAUGCUGCGGCUCAAGGAUACGCGUAGAAAUGUCAAGCGGACGAUCGCGCCGAGGUGGUGGAGGUGGAGGUGGUAGGAGGCGAUACUCUUCAAGGGACAGGGUGCCUUCAGAAAUGGCGCUGUUCUACCACCAACUCAUCCCUCCUUGAGACUACACAUCACCCCCCUACCGUCUUACCCAAGGACUUCUCUGAAUACAACACAACUACAACAUCAUCUCUAAUAAACAUCGCGUGAAAAUCCCUCAUAAACCAAUACCUAAGGCAUCGCAGCCAGUAUUUUUUUGAAAAUGCAGCCACAAUGUCCCCAGCUGGCAUUGCUGCGCCUCCUAAUUUCUCGGGCUGAGAGCGCUGCACAUCUCCUUCUAUCAACGUGGCAGCGCUACAUGGGUUAGGCACUACUUCUCACCAUUGAAAUUUCAACUUUAAAUUUCUGCUUUCAACCACUCUACUACUCAGCAAAAGUCUGGUCGCGUUCACCCAGGAGAUCGAGAUCUCGCUCCAGGUCCCGUGAUCGUAGGUCUGAUUCCCGAGACCGAAGAAGCGACUCACGAGACAGGCGUUAAGACAACAGAAGAAGAAAUGAAAAGUAACAUUAAUAAAGAUAGAUCUUAAGCUCAUUUCAGGCCAUAAUUUCUUUGAUCUAUGAAAGACCGUUUUCCUACGCAAAAAUAUGAAGUAUUACUUAGACACCCAAGCUUUUUAAAGAAACAUUUGGUAAUAAGUACUAAGGAAAAUUAGAUUUUUAGAAGCUACCUUUAUGUUUUGUACAUCUGUAACAGGAUUGGUACAAACAUUCAUGAUUAACUAGAUAAUCGUGGUUACAAAAUGUAAGAUACAUUCAUCCUAAAAUCUAUUUUAAUCAAUAUUUUUAAGCCAGUUUUACGAAAAUGCAAUGACGCAGAUUGUCCUGUUUUCAGUUCAGUUUAAGAUUUUGUUGAAGUGAAAUUAAUACCGAUUUCAUUUAUCGUAUCAGAACUUUAUACUGUUUCGUUUUUUAAUUAAGGAUUAUUUGCUAUUCUACAUUUAAGUACAGAAUAUGUAUUUUUCUUAGAUUUUAUUGCUGAAAACUUGCAAAAUACAAAACUGUCUGCUUCUGA